GAUGAAGAACGCAGCGAAAUGCGAUACUUGGUGUGAAUUGCAGAAUCCCGUGAACCAUCGAGUCUUUGAACGCAAGUUGCGCCCGAAGCCGUCAGGCCGAGGGCACGCCUGCCUGGGCGUCACACGCCGUUGCCCACCCCGCGCCCCGCACCCAACUCUUUGGGAGCGACCGCGGGGCGGGCUGAUGAUGGCCUCCCGUGCGCUCCGCCGCGCGGUUGGCCCAAAUACCGAGUCCCCGGCGACGUGCGCCACGACGAUCGGUGGUUGAGAGACCUCUGUCGCAAGUCGUGCGCGCCCGUCGCGUCACGCGGGCUCGCAUAGCGCCUCGCGCCGCACCCGGUGCGGAGCUUUCAACGCGACCCCAGGUCAGGCGGGGUUACCCGCUGAAUUUAAGCAUAUCAAUAAGCGGAGGA
rnacentral:misc_RNA from 1 species